CCUACGGGAGGCAGCAGUGAGGAAUAUUGGUCAAUGGGCGGAAGCCUGAACCAGCCAAGUCGCGUGCAGGAUGACGGCCCUACGGGUUGUAAACUGCUUUUAUACGGGAAUAACGCGCCUUACGUGUAGGGCUUUGCAUGUACCGUAUGAAUAAGGAACGGCUAAUUCCGUGCCAGCAGCCGCGGUAAUACGGAAGGUCCGGGCGUUAUCCGGAUUUAAUGGGUUUAAAGGGAGCGUAGGCCGCAUGUCAAGCGUGCUGUGAAAUGUCCGGGCUCAACCCGGGGCUUGCAGCGCGAACUGGCGUGCUUGAGUCCGCGGAAAGCAGGCGGAAUUCGUCGUGUAGCGGUGAAAUGCUUAGAUAUGACGAAGAACCCCGAUUGCGAAGGCAGCUUGCUGCAGCGGAACUGACGCUGAUGCUCGAAAGCGCGGGUAUCGAACAGGAUUAGAUACCCGUGUAGUC
rnacentral:rRNA from 1 species